CUACGGGUGGCUCCAGUGAGGAAUAUUGCACAAUGGGGGGAACCCUGAUGCAGCAACGCCGCGUGGAGGAUGACGCAUUUCGGUGUGUAAACUCCUUUUAUAUGUCAAGAAAAUGACGGUAGCAUAUGAAUAAGCACCGGCUAACUCCGUGCCAGCAGCCGCGGUAAGACGGAGGGUGCAAGCGUUACUCGGAAUCACUGGGCGUAAAGGACGCGUAGGCGGGUUGGAAAGUCAGGUGUGAAAUCCUACAGCUUAACUGUAGAACUGCACUUGAAACUUCUAAUCUAGAGUAUGGGAGGGGGAGAUGGAAUUAGUGGUGUAGGGGUAAAAUCCGUAGAUAUCACUAGGAAUACCUAAAGCGAAGGCGAUCACCUGGAACAUUACUGACGCUAAGGCGUGAAAGCGUGGGGAGCAAACAGGAUUAGAUACCCGAGUAGUC
rnacentral:rRNA from 1 species